GACGAACGCUGGCGGCGUGCUUAACACAUGCAAGUCGAACGGAAAGGCCCUGCUUUUGUGGGGUGCUCGAGUGGCGAACGGGUGAGUAACACGUGAGUAACCUGCCCUUGACUUUGGGAUAACUUCAGGAAACUGGGGCUAAUACCGGAUAGGAGCUCCUGCUGCAUGGUGGGGGUUGGAAAGUUUCGGCGGUUGGGGAUGGACUCGCGGCUUAUCAGCUUGUUGGUAGGGUAGUGGCUUACCAAGGCUUUGACGGGUAGCCGGCCUGAGAGGGUGACCGGCCUCAUUGGGACUGAGAUACAGCCCAGACUCCUACGGGAGGCAGCAGUGGGGAAUAUUGCACAAUGGGCGGAAGCCUGAUGCAGCAACGCCGCGUGCGGGAUGACGGCCUUCGGGUUGUAAACCGCUUUCGCCUGUGACGAAGCGUGAGUGACGGUAAUGGGUAAAGAAGCACCGGCUAACUACGUG
rnacentral:rRNA from 1 species